GCAGCCGCGGUAAUACGUAGGUGGCAAGCGUUAUCCGGAAUUAUUGGGCGUAAAGGGUGCGCAGGCGGUUGAUUAAGUUUAAGGUGAAAGCGUGGGGCUCAACCCCAUACAGCCUUAGAAACUGGUCUGACUAGAGUGCAGGAGAGGUUAGUGGAAUUCCAUGUGUAGCGGUAAAAUGCGUAGAUAUAUGGAGGAACACCAGUGGCGAAGGCGGCUAACUGGCCUGUAACUGACGCUGAGGCACGAAAGCGUGGGGAGCAAAUAGGAUUAGAUACCCC
rnacentral:rRNA from 1 species